CAAGCAGACGGAGCAAGACCGCGUGAGGGAGGAAGGCUCUUGGGUUGUAAACCUCUUUUAUCAGGGAAGAAGAUCUGACGGUACCUGAUGAAUCAGCAUCGGCUAACUCCGUGCCAGCAGCCGCGGUAAUACGGAGGAUGCAAGCGUUAUCCGGAUUUAUUGGGCGUAAAGCGUCCGCAGGUGGUUUUUCAAGUCUGCUGUUAAAGCGCGAGGCUUAACCUCGUAACGGCGGUGGAAACUGAGAGACUAGAGUAUGGUAGGGGUAGCGGGAAUUCCCAGUGUAGCGGUGAAAUGCGUAGAUAUUGGGAAGAACACCAGCGGCGAAAGCGCGCUACUGGGCCAUCACUGACACUCAUGGACGAAAGCUAGGGGAGCGAAAGGGAUUAGAUACCCCUGUAGUCCUAGCUGUAAACGAUGGAUACUAGGUGUUGCCCGUAUCGACCCGGGCAGUGCCGUAGCUAACGCGUUAAGUAUCCCGCCUGGGGAGUAUGCACGCAAGUGUGAAACUCAAAGGAAUUGACGGGGGCCCGCACAAGCGGUGGAGUAUGUGGUUUAAUUCGAUGCAACGCGAAGAACCUUACCAGGGCUUGACAUGUCGCGAAUCCCGGUGAAAGUCGGGAGUGCCUUCGGGAGCGCGAACACAGGUGGUGCAUGGCUGUCGUCAGCUCGUGUCGUGAGAUGUUGGGUUAAGUCCCGCAACGAGCGCAACCCUCGUUUUUAGUUGCCAGCAUUUAGUUGGGCACUCUAGAGAGACUGCCGGUGACAAACCGGAGGAAGGUGGGGAUGACGUCAAGUCAGCAUGCCCCUUACGUCCUGGGCUACACACGUACUACAAUGCUACGGACAAAGGGUUGCGAGCUAGCGAUAGCAAGCUAAUCCCAUAAACCGUGGCUCAGUUCAGAUUGCAGGCUGCAACUCGCCUGCAUGAAGGAGGAAUCGCUAGUAAUCCCAGGUCAGCAUACUGGGGUGAAUACGUUCCCGGGCCUUGUACACACCGCCCGUCACACCAUGGGAGUUGGCCACGCCCGAAGUCGUUACUCCAACCGCUUGCGGAGGAGGAUGCCGAAGGCAGGGCUGAUGACUGGGGUGAAGUCGUAACAAGGUAGCCGUACCGGAAGGUGUGGCUGGAUCACCUCCUUUUAGGGAGACCUACCUACAUUGAUGCUCGAAAGCAGAAUGCAAUUAAAGCCAAUGUUGGUCAUCCCAAGGUCGUUCAAGUUUAAGUGUUGGCUUCCAAACUAGCUAGGUUUGGUCUAUGGGCUAUUAGCUCAGGUGGUUAGAGCGCACCCCUGAUAAGGGUGAGGUCCCUGGUUCGAGUCCAGGAUGGCCCACUUGUGGGGGUUUAGCUCAGUUGGUAGAGCGCCUGCUUUGCAAGCAGGAUGUCAGCGGUUCGAGUCCGCUAACCUCCACCAUGAAAGACGGUAAUAAUUUAGCACUCAAAUUCAGCACAUUGUGAAUGGCUUGAUGAUUCAAGUGAGUUUAUAAUCUGCUGGGUGAAAGCCUAGCGAAGAACCUUGAAAACUGAAUAGAAGAGAAGUGUAAGGUAGUACACACAGAACAUUCAAAGUUCGUUGAGAGAAGAGUGAACUUGAUUAGUUUAUCUAAUUGAGUGAAGGUCAAGCUACAACGGGCUCACGGUGGAUACCUAGGCACACAGAGAA
rnacentral:sRNA from 1 species